GUGGCGCAUUUCUCUGUGGGUGCCACCAUCUUUCCAUUUGGCUGCAGUUGAAAACGUAUGAUCCGGUUGGAACGUUAUUGGAUAUAUAUGAAAAUAACAUCCUGAAGAUUGAUUCUCUACUUAGUUUGACCAGUUUAUUCGACCUGGAAUAUAUAUUUUUGACGUUUUCGUGCGAGUUGUCCUGGACCAGCAGUCAGUUUUUGGGCACGUGAGCUGAAAGUGGUAGCAAAUGCAGCUAUUUGGACACUAGGAUUGGACAUUAUGGAACAAAACAACGAUUUAUUGUGGAACUAGGACUCCUUGCACUGCAUUCUGAUGAAAGAUCAUCAAAGGUGGGCCGAAGAGCCGAAGAGCCCCGGAGCCAGAUAUGGUCGCAGAAACAGGAGGUGCUGGAGAAGGGGUUGCUAGAGAUGAGGUGGGGAGGCCACCCCUCUCCCAUCGAUCC
ensembl:lncRNA